GCUUAUUUCCUCUGCCUGCACCUUAUAUUUGUUGUGUUUGUCGAGACCUGGCCUGUCUCUGCCUCGUUGAAGACAAAUGGACACAAGUACUGGUUGCUGUUGGUUUGUUUGGUUUGCUCAGUCUGAGCGUGCUGCAGAGCACUUGACCACUGCAGCAGUCAAGCAUGCUGUAUAUUGGGCAGUGCCAGGAAUUGCGAGAUCGAGACAGGCUGCCACUAGAAGUUCCUUGGGCCAGGAAUUUAUUCUGUUCCAGAUAAGGGAGGCAGCUUUUGCAUCUGCAACAGAACAUUGGUGGAUGUUGUGUGAAGCACUUUCUCCAUGCUUUUUCACUACCUGAGCAAGGUAACUUUCUUGGUGCUUCAUCACGCAAUUUAUACAAUCAACUGCCAUUAAUUCUACCCUCACGAGACUGACGGGUCGAACUAAGAUGCAAAAACCUGCUGAAGCACCGUUGAUUCAUUUGGCAAUAUGUGCUUGAGUAACACGCCUCUGAAACGAAUGUGCAUCAAAUUUCUAUUUGUCCACAGUACAAAACUAAAGUAGAAAUGACUUAACUCCAAACCAAAGUAGAAACCUACGCGUACCUCAUUUUUUAGAAUGCCAGCUGAUUUUCCAAAGCCAGCUUCGCCGUAUUACAGCCAUGAUAUGUGGUAAAGCAUAUGAAUGGUGCAACCACGGUUUUAGUUUCGCAAUCGAUUGCACAGCUAGGCAAUUUUCGUCUCAAUGUCCUUCGAAAACAAAAAGUGUUCGUUAGAAUCAGAUAAGUACCACAAUCGGACAUUGUCAGCUACCGUUACUGCUUGAAAAUCUUUGUCGGGUGGGUCAAAAAUAGGCAUUUCAGAGAGAUGGCAUUUGUUUAACGCAUUCACUGUCCCCUAAGCACUACUGAGACAUGGGCUGCCACUAAAAGGGGUCAUUAUUGGGGUCUGGUCAAGUUCGCAUUAUCCGGCGAAUGCCAGUUUUAGGAUCGAAAUGAUGAAUGUUUAAUUCCAUAGAAAUGCAUGGGCGUCGGCCAGGUUCGAAUUAACUGAAAAAAUUAAAUUAACCGGAGUCAGAUUAUUGGAAGUUUACUAUACACCCUUUUCUGUUCUCCAAGAAGUUGCCAUUUUAAUAUGUAGUUUUCUUCUGUCAGUGUGGCAAUGGUGCUAAAUUUAGCAUUUGUUUGAAUCAUCUAUUGUUCCAAGGACAAGCUACAAAGUAGGGGCACACUUUGAGACUUGAAACAUUUCCACAUAUAAAGGCAGGGCAUGUUAACAUCUGUACAAUUAACAUAAGUUGGCUGUAUUGUCUGCAUAGUAUGUGGUUGCUUUUUUGGAAUGUGGUCUUUCUGUAAAACAAAGUUGCAUUUGUUUCAAAUAAAUUGCUGAACCAUUGCUUGUGUGUUUUCCUGUGCUCUCUGUGCUGAUUGCGCUUUUGAAAGUGCAGUGAGCAACUGCAGACUGAAAUGCACAAGGCUUCACUUUAUCAUGCCAGGAAGCAUUUUGGCUUGACAAAGGAGCCUUAAUUAACCCCUUCCAUGCACACACUUUUUUUGUAUAAACACAUCAAAUGAAAGACA